rnacentral:rRNA from 1 species
UACGUAGGGACCGAGCGUUGUCCGGAAUCAUUGGGCGUAAAGAGCUCGUAGGUGGUUUGUCGCGUUGUCCGUGAAAACUCACAACUCAAUUGUGGGCGUGCGGGCGAUACGGGCAGACUGGAGUACUGCAGGGGAGACUGGAAUUCCUGGUGUAGCGGUGGAAUGCGCAGAUAUCAGGAGGAACACCGGUGGCGAAGGCGGGUCUCUGGGCAGUAACUGACGCUGAGGAGCGAAAGCGUGGGGAGCGAACAGG